AUAGAAUCAGCACCCAUCUUUGAGUCAGAGUUUGAGAUGCAAAUCCUUUACUGUAUAGCCUUGAUCAAAUGACUUCACCUCAUUGAAUUAAUCUUCUUCUGCAUAAAAUGGGGUCACCAUCUGCUUAUCUAAAUUGUUACAAAUGGGACAGUAUAUGUGCCAUUCCAGAUACCUAAUCACAGCUCAAUCGAUGCUGGUGUCUUUUUCCUUUUUCCUUCUGCAGAAAACAUGCUUUACAUAGGAUCUCUGAACUUAAAGAAUGGGAAGAAGAAAAAUCAUGUUUCCAGCUUGGGCUGCUGUUUCAUCUGUUGGACUUGCUUAAAGCGUAUGGGUUUGUUUACCCUUCCUGCAGGCAUCCAACCUGGCCUUUUAUUCCUGCUCAAGUAGGACAUGCAGCCUGCUGGGGACCCGUGGCUCAAAUCCUCCAACUGCAGGACUGCCGGCCCUGGGACUCAUGAAUAAUGGAAGUGCAGUAACCACUCCUUACAGCCCAGACGACUUUCCAGGAGCAGGCUGUACCCCGAAAGAUCCCUGAAUGGAAAGGAAUGCUAUGCACACUUUUUGGAUACAGGAAGUGAGAUUCAGAGGGGUUAAACAGCUUUCCUAAAGCCACACAGCGAGAGAGUCGAUCUGAACUGAAGAUUGUUUGACAUCAAAGCUCAUUUCUUUCCCUAAAUGUCAGCAUUCUUUCCUGACUUAUUAAUUUGAUUUCUGUCCUCCCCUCAUGGAAGUUAAUUAAAGGAAUGCGAGAACCUUUUAGAAAAUCUCC
rnacentral:lncRNA from 1 species